GCCCGCUCGCCGGAAGACCAAGGGUUCCUGUCCAACGUUAAUCGGGGCAGGGUGAGUCGACCCCUAAGGCGAGGCCGAAAGGCGUAGUCGAUGGGAAACAGGUUAAUAUUCCUGUACUUGGUGUUACUGCGAAGGGGGGACGGAGAAGGCUAUGUCAGCCGGGCGACGGUUGUCCCGGUUUAAGCAUGUAGGCGGAGGUUCCAGGUAAAUCCGGUACCUUAUUAACGCUGAGGUGUGAUGACGAGGCACUACGGUGCUGAAGUGAUAAAUGCCCUGCUUCCAGGAAAAGCCUCUAAGCAUCAGGUAACACGAAAUCGUACCCCAAACCGACACAGGUGGUCAGGUAAUCGUACCCCAAACCGACACAGGUGGUCAGGUAGAGAAUACCAAGGCGCUUGAGAGAACUCGGGUGAAGGAACUAGGCAAAAUGGUGCCGUAACUUCGGGAGAAGGCACGCUGAUAUGUAGGUGAAGCCCCUGCGGGUGGAGCUGAAAUCAGUCGAAGAUACCAGCUGGCUGCAACUGUUUAUUAAAAACACAGCACUGUGCAAACACGAAAGUGGACGUAUACGGUGUGACGCCUGCCCGGUGCCGGAAGGUUAAUUGAUGGGGUUAGCGGCAACGCGAAGCUCUUGAUCGAAGCCCCGGUAAACGGCGGCCGUAACUAUAACGGUCCUAAGGUUGGCCAGGCUGUCUCCACCCGAGACUCAGUGAAAUUGAACUCGCUGUGAAGAUGCAGUGUACCCGCGGCAAGACGGAAAGACCCCGUGAACCUUUACUAUAGCUUGACACUGAACACUGGUCCUUGAUGUGUAGGAUAGGUGGGAGGCUUUGAAGCGUGGACGCCAGUCUGCGUGGAGCCGACCUUGAAAUACCACCCUUUAAUGGCUGGUGUUCUAACGUGGACCCGUAAUCCGGGUUGCGGACAGUGUCUGGUGGGUAGUUUGACUGGGGCGGUCUCCUCCCAAAGAGUAACGGAGGAGCACGAAGGUUGGCUAAUCCUGGUCGGACAUCAGGAGGUUAGUGCAAUGGCAUAAGCCAGCUUGACUGCGAGCGUGACGGCGCGAGCAGGUGCGAAAGCAGGUCAUAGUGAUCCGGUGGUUCUGAAUGGAAGGGCCAUCGCUCAACGGAUAAAGUAUGGCUGUUCGCCAUUUAAAGUGGUACGCGAGCUGGGUUUAGAACGUCGUGAGACAGUUCGGUCCCUAUCUGCCGUGGGCGCUGGAGAAUUGAGGGGGGCUGCUCCUAGUACGAGAGGACCGGAGUGGACGCAUCACUGGUGUUCGGGUUGUCAUGCCAAUGGCACUGCCCGGUAGCUAAAUGCGGAAGAGAUAAGUGCUGAAAGCAUCUAAGCACGAAACUUGCCCCGAGAUGAGUUCUCCCUGAGACUUUAAGUCUCCUGAAGGAACGUUGAAGACGACGACGUUGAUAGGUCGGGUGUGUAAGCGCAGCGAUGCGUUGAGCUAACCGAUACUAAUGAACCGUGAGGCUUAACCUU
rnacentral:rRNA from 1 species